GACAUAGGUGGCGAACGUUAUCCGGAUUUAUUGGGCGUAAAGAGCUCGUAGGCGGUUCGGUAAGUCAGAUGUGAAAUCUCAGGGCUCAACCCGGGAACUGCAUCUGAUACUGCCGUGACUUGAGUCUGGUAGGGGAACACGGAAUUCCUGGUGUAGCGGUGAAAUGCGCAGAUAUCAGGAGGAACACCGAUGGCGAAGGCAGUGUUCUGGGCCAGUACUGACGCUGAGGAGCGAAAGCGUGGGGAGCAAACAGG
rnacentral:rRNA from 1 species